GAUGAAGAACGUAGCGAAAUGCGAUAAGUAAUGUGAAUUGCAGAAUUCAGUGAAUCAUCGAAUCUUUGAACGCACAUUGCGCCCGUCAGUAUUCUGGCGGGCAUGCCUGUUCGAGCGUCAUUACGCCCCUCAAGUCCCCUGUGGACUUGGUGUUGGGGAUCGGCGAGGCUGGUUUUCCAGCACAGCCGUCCCUUAAAUUAAUUGGCGGUCUCGCCGUGGCCCUCCUCUGCGCAGUAGUAAAACACUCGCAACAGGAGCCCGGCGCGGUCCACUGCCGUAAAACCCCCCAACUUUUUAUAGUUGACCUCGAAUCAGGUAGGACUACCCGCUGAACUUAAGUAUAUCAAUAAGCGGAGGA
rnacentral:misc_RNA from 1 species